rnacentral:misc_RNA from 1 species
UCCGGGUUGGACCCGGCGGUCCCGCCAGACAGGGUAACUGGCAGCGGGGGUUGCGCUCGUUGCGGGACUUAACCCAACACCUCACGGCACGAGCUGACGACAGCCAUGCAGCAUCUGCGCACGCUCCCUUGCGGGUCCUUCCCCUUUCGAGGUCGUACCACGUGCAUGUCAAGCCCAGGUAAGGUUCCUCGCGUAUCAUCGAAUUAAACCACAGGCUCCACCGCUUGUGCGGACCCCCGCCAAUUCCUUUGAGUUUCAACCUUGCGGUCGUACUCCCCAGGCGGAUGACUUAACGCGUUAGCUGCGCCACCGAAACGCUAAGCGCCCCGACAGCUAGUCAUCAUCGUUUACGGCGUGGACUAC